rnacentral:rRNA from 1 species
GAUGAACGCUAGCGAUAGGCUUAACACAUGCAAGUCGAGGGGCAGCAUGGUCUUAGCUUGCUAAGACUGAUGGCGACCGGCGCACGGGUGCGUAACGCGUAUGCAACUUGCCUCACAGAGGGGGAUAACCCGUCGAAAGACGGACUAAUACCGCGUACACUUGGGAUAGGGCAUCCUGACCCAAGGAAAUGAACUUCGCUGUGAGAUAGGCAUGCGUCCCAUUAGCUAGUUGGUGAGGUAACGGCUCACCAAGGCGACGAUGGGUAGGGGAACUGAGAGGUUGAACCCCCACACUGGUACUGAGACACGGACCAGACUCCUACGGGAGGCAGCAGUGAGGAAUAUGGGUCAAUGGGCGAGAGCCUGAACCAGCCAAGUCGCGUGAAGGAUGACUGUCUUAUGGAUUGUAAACUUCUUUUAUACGGGAAUAACAAGAGCCACGUGUGGCUCCCUGCAUGUACCGUAUGAAUAAGCAUCGGCUAACUCCGUG